CCGGGGACGCCGCCGCCGCCGCCGAGUGGAUCCGGAAGGGCAGCUUCAUCCACAAACCCGCGCACGGCUGGCUACACCCCGACGCCAGGGUCCUGGGGCCCGGGGUCUCCUACGUCGUGCGGUACAUGGGCUGCAUCGAGGUUCUCCGCUCUAUGCGCUCCCUGGACUUUAACACGCGCACGCAGGUGACCAGGUGUCGGUCACCGUGCCCUGCAGACCUCGAUCCUCUAAGAUGGAAAGAACACGCCGGUCGCUCACAGGGUGCUGGGCAAGUCCCCGCACGGCGUGGGGUGCAGGGCCUGGCGGGUUCCCUCUGGGACCGGGGCCCAGUGGCGUCUCCGUGUCCCUGCUCUGUUUUCCACACGGUGACCUCAGGAUGCUAUGCGGUGUCUGGAAAGCAAUCACAGGGGCUGUGGAUAUGGCCAGGGCUUAAGCAGGGAAGAGAGCGACACCCUUUUUUUCUGUGAAAACUGGUUGAUUCCAUUCGUAUAGACUUAAAAAAACCAUGUGAGACAGUUUACACGUGCGUAUGUGAGAUAUAAUGUACAGUUUGAGACUUUAGGCUCUUCACAGAGUCACACGAUCACCACUGUCUAGUUCCGAACAUUCUCAUUACCCCAUCAAAACACCCCGUCCCCAUCACAGCCACUCCCCGUCCCCUCCCCAGCCCCGGCACCCACGCAUCCCCUCCCUGUCUCUGUGGAUCGGCCUGUCCUGGACAUUUCAUAGCAAUGGGAUCACACGCUGCGUGGCCUCGUGUGUCUGGCGUCUCUCACUGAGCAUGGCGUUCCCGAGGUGUGUCCGCGCUGUGGCCUGGGUCAGAGCCUUGCUCCUUUUUUUUUUUUUUUUUUGAGAUGGAGUCUCACUCUGUUGCCCAGGCUGGAGUGCAGUGACACCGUGUCGGCUCACUGCAACCUCUGUCUCCUGGGUUCAAGCAUUUCUCUUGCCUCAGCCUCCCCAGUAGCUGGGACUACAGGCGCCCACCACCACACCCAGCUAGUUUUUAUGUUUUUAGUAGAGACGGGGUUUCUCCAUGUUGGUCAGACCGGUCUCGAACCCCUGACCUCAGGUGAUCCGCCCGUCUCAGCCUCCCCAAGUGUUGGGAUGACAGGUGGGGGCCGCCGCGCCUGCAUGCAUUUGUUUGUGUCAGGCCCACAGUGCUAGGAUGACAGGCAGGAGCCGCUGCAUCUGGCCAAUUUUUAACCUUUUGAGGAGCCCCCAGGCUGUUUUCCACAGUGGCCGUGCUGUGAAAAUUCCCACAUGCCCUGGGUGGGGGAUCUGGUUUCUCCACGUGACGCCGACAUUUCCGGGGCCCCUUCAGGACCCUGUAGACUUCUAACCUCUCCUGGGGACCAGUGGUCUGAGGCGCUCUUGUUUGGGGUCAGCUCCUGCCACCACUCAGGCUGCAGACAGGAUCUCGACACGGACCCCGCGUCAGGCUCAGGGCCUCCUGCUCGCUGCUCCAACCCCCACAUCUGAUGCCGAGCCUUCCUUGUGGGCCGAGGCCAGGGACACACUGGUCCCUGGGAAAGAGGGUGGUAGAGGGGCCAGAGCUGGGGGCCGGGCCUCUGCCGGAUGCAAGGACGCACGUGGAGUGGGCUGGUGCCCAAGCUGCACCUGUCCUGUGGGGCACUCCUCCCCCAGGGAAGCCAUCAACCGGCUCCAUGAGGCCGUGCCUGGCGUCCGGGGAUCCUGGAAGAAAAAGGCCCCCAACAAGGCCCUGGCGUCCGUCCUGGGCAAGAGCAACCUUCGCUUUGCCGGCAUGAGCAUCUCCAUCCACAUCUCCACUGAUGGCCUCAGCCUCUCCGUGCCUGCCACGCGCCAGGUCAUCGCCAACCACCACAUGCCGUCCAUCUCCUUCGCGUCAGGCGGAGACACGGACAUGACGGAUUACGUGGCCUACGUCGCCAAGGACCCCAUCAACCAGAGAGCCUGCCACAUCCUGGAGUGCUGUGAGGGCCUGGCACAGAGCAUCAUCAGCACCGUGGGCCAAGCUUUCGAGCUGCGCUUCAAGCAGUACCUGCACAGCCCGCCCAAGGUGGCGCUGCCCCCAGAAAGGAUUGGGGAGGACUAAGCAAGCUGACUCCCCGGUGUGCCUGAGGCUGUCAGCCCUGCUGCUACAACCAAUAUCCCUCCUCCAGACGCGCGGCCGGCUCCCGCAAUGGGCAGAAAACGGCCUCCGUCUCACCGCAGAACAUGUGUAAAGGGGGGGACGUGUCUGUGUGCUGGUAACACGUUUUU
rnacentral:lncRNA from 10 species